rnacentral:rRNA from 1 species
GAGCGAGCUUGCCUAGAUGAUUUUAGUGCUUGCACUAAAUGAAACUAGAUACAAGCGAGCGGCGGACGGGUGAGUAACACGUGGGUAACCUGCCCAAGAGACUGGGAUAACACCUGGAAACAGAUGCUAAUACCGGAUAACAACACUAGACGCAUGUCUAGAGUUUGAAAGAUGGUUCUGCUAUCACUCUUGGAUGGACCUGCGGUGCAUUAGCUAGUUGGUAAGGUAACGGCUUACCAAGGCAAUGAUGCAUAGCCGAGUUGAGAGACUGAUCGGCCACAUUGGGACUGAGACACGGCCCAAACUCCUACGGGAGGCAGCAGUAGGGAAUCUUCCACAAUGGACGAAAGUCUGAUGGAGCAACGCCGCGUGAGUGAAGAAGGGUUUCGGCUCGUAAAGCUCUGUUGGUAGUGAAGAAAGAUAGAGGUAGUAACUGGCCUUUAUUUGACGGUAAUUACUUAGAAAGUCACGGCUAACUACGUGCCAGCAGCCGCGGUAAUACGUAGGUGGCAAGCGUUGUCCGGAUUUAUUGGGCGUAAAGCGAGUGCAGGCGGUUCAAUAAGUCUGAUGUGAAAGCCUUCGGCUCAACCGGAGAAUUGCAUCAGAAACUGUUGAACUUGAGUGCAGAAGAGGAGAGUGGAACUCCAUGUGUAGCGGUGGAAUGCGUCCCUCUCUGGGAGAACACCAGGGCGGAAGGCGGCUCUUUGGUCUGCAACUGACGCUGAGGCUCGAAAGCAUGGGUAGCGAACAGGAUUAGAUACCCUGGUAGUCCAUGCCGUAAACGAUGAGUGCUAAGUGUUGGGAGGUUUCCGCCUCUCAGUGCUGCAGCUAACGCAUUAAGCACUCCGCCUGGGGAGUACGACCGCAAGGUUGAAACUCAAAGGAAUUGACGGGGGCCCGCACAAGCGGUGGAGCAUGUGGUUUAAUUCGAAGCAACGCGAAGAACCUUACCAGGUCUUGACAUCCAGUGCAAACCUAAGAGAUUAGGUGUUCCCUUCGGGGACGCUGAGACAGGUGGUGCAUGGCUGUCGUCAGCUCGUGUCGUGAGAUGUUGGGUUAAGUCCCGCAACGAGCGCAACCCUUGUCAUUAGUUGCCAUCAUUAAGUUGGGCACUCUAAUGAGACUGCCGGUGACAAACCGGAGGAAGGUGGGGAUGACGUCAAGUCAUCAUGCCCCUUAUGACCUGGGCUACACACGUGCUACAAUGGACGGUACAACGAGAAGCGAACCUGCGAAGGCAAGCGGAUCUCUUAAAGCCGUUCUCAGUUCGGACUGUAGGCUGCAACUCGCCUACACGAAGCUGGAAUCGCUAGUAA